UUACCACUAAACACACAAUAAAUCACUCCUUAAGUCAUCAUUCAUCAAUAGUUCCGUACAGACUCUUCUUCCUUAAAAAAUUUUUUUAAAAAAAAUAAAACGCAGAAGGCCAAGUUCACAGACUCAACAUGUCACCGUCGAUCUUCAUCUGCCGCCGCUGCGCCACCAAUUCUCCUUCCAGGAGUUUUUGGCCACGGUCGCUAGCCAUGUCCAAUUCUUAUGCAGAGCUUAAAUUGACCCAACUCUUAUUCUAUACUUCAAGAUCUUUGUCAGGUUAAGUUGCUAAAGAGAAGUAUAUGUACUUGGAUGCUUUUUGCUGAUUUUUGUUGCAUUUGUUCUCUCAUACGCAUCACUUUUCUUUCUUCUCCAAGGUUGAUGAUACCAAUUCAUGCAUGUACAAUAAAGGGUGGAUUUCUUCAAUAUAUUGAUUAAUUGUACCUGGCAAAGAGACGUGAUUUUUAAUGAUAGCUCAACGAGGUUAGAGGAUUACGAUUGAGGUUAUCUAGAGUAACUUAUUUCAGAAAACAACUUUGUUAGCAAUUGAAGAUGUAUAUGUAUAAGUAGAUAAAGGUGAGCUUAUAUGGUUUAAAUUAUUGAGCAGUACGAACACUCUUAUGUAAUGUAAGCACUCUUGUAAUGUAAAAGUUGGUUAAUAUUUUGUGGUAUUUACCAAAAAAAUUAAAAAUUCAAUAGUUGCUUUGUGUUGAUGAUGGUCUCCAAAUAUUGAUAGUCAAAUUUAGCGAUUGCAGAUUUGUUUAGAGACUCAACGGUUAGUUACAAAUUAAUUGAUCUUAGUAGUCUCUAAUCUGUCGCCAAAAAAAAAAAAAAAAAAUCGUCUUCGUAGUCGCAAAAGUUUGGUCUCGUAGUCGCUAAUCUGUUGCAAAAUAAAUUAGUCUCCGUAUACGCAAAAGUUUGGUCUCGUAGUUGCUAAUCCGUUGCAAAAUAAAUUAGUAGUCGCAAAAGUUUGGUUUAGUAGUCGCUAAUCCGUCGCAAAAUAUUGGUCUUU